GUGAACCUUUACUAUAGCUUGACACUGAACAUUGAGCCUUGAUGUGUAGGAUAGGUGGGAGGCUUUGAAGCGUGGACGCCAGUCUGCGUGGAGCCAACCUUGAAAUACCACCCUUUAAUGUUUGAUGUUCUAACGUUGGCCCCUGACCGGGGUUGCGGACAGUGUCUGGUGGGUAGUUUGACUGGGGCGGUCUCCUCCCAAAGCGUAACGGAGGAGCACGAAGGUUAGCUAAUCCUGGUCGGACAUCAGGAGGUUAGUGCAAUGGCAUAAGCUAGCUUGACUGCGAGCGUGACGGCGCGAGCAGGUGCGAAAGCAGGUCAUAGUGAUCCGGUGGUUCUGAAUGGAAGGGCCAUCGCUCAACGGAUAAAAGGUACUCCGGGGAUAACAGGCUGAUACCGCCCAAGAGUUCAUAUCGACGGCGGUGUUUGGCACCUCGAUGUCGGCUCAUCACAUCCUGGGGCUGAAGUAGGUCCCAAGGGUAUGGCUGUUCGCCAUUUAAAGUGGUACGCGAGCUGGGUUUAGAACGUCGUGAGACAGUUCGGUCCCUAUCUGCCGUGGGCGCUGGAGAAUUGAGGGGGGCUGCUCCUAGUACGAGAGGACCGGAGUGGACGCAUCACUGGUGUUCGGGUUGUCAUGCCAAUGGCACUGCCCGGUAGCUAAAUGCGGAAGAGAUAAGUGCUGAAAGCAUCUAAGCACGAAACUUGCCCCGAGAUGAGUUCUCCCUGAGACUU
rnacentral:rRNA from 1 species